CAGCCGCCGCGGUAACACGUAGGGGGCAAGCGUUAUCCGGAAUUACUGGGUGUAAAGGGAGCGUAGACGGUUAAACAAGUCUGAAGUGAAAUGCCGGGGCUCAACCCCGGAGCUGCUUUGGGAACUGUAGAACUGGAGUGUCGGAGGGGUAAGCGGAAUUCCCAGUGUAGCGGUGAAAUGCGUAGAUAUUGGGAGGAACACCGGCGGCGAAGGCGGCUUACUGGACGACAACUGACGUUGAGGCUCGAAGGCGUGGGUAGCAAACAGGAUUAGAUACCCCAGUAGUCCCUGUCUCUUAUAC
rnacentral:rRNA from 1 species